rnacentral:rRNA from 1 species
UACGGGGGGGGCAAGCGUUGUUCGGAAUUACUGGGCGUAAAGGGCUCGUAGGCGGCCAACUAAGUCGGAUGUGAAAUCCCCAGGCUUAACCUGGGAACUGCAUCCGAUACUGGAUGGCUUGAAUCCGGGAGAGGGAUGCAGAAUUCCAGGUGUAGCGGUGAAAUGCGUAGAUAUCUGGAGGAAUACCGGUGGCGAAGGCGGCCACCUGGUUGGAUACUGACGCUGAGACGCGAAAGCGUGGGGAGCAAACAGG